rnacentral:rRNA from 1 species
GUGAGGAAUAUUGCGCAAUGGAGGCAACUCUGACGCAGCCAUGCCGCGUGCAGGAAGAAGGCGCUACGCGUUGUAAACUGCUUUUAACCGGGAAGAAACCCCAGGACGUGUCCUGGGUUGACGGUACCGGAGGAAUAAGCACCGGCUAACUUCGUGCCAGCAGCCGCGGUAAUACGAAGGGUGCAAGCGUUAUCCGGAUUCAUUGGGUUUAAAGGGUGCGUAGGCGGAGCGUUAAGUCAGUGGUGAAAUCCUGCAGCUUAACUGUAGACUUGCCAUUGAUACUGGCGCUCUUGAGUGCGCUUGAAGUGGGCGGAGUGUGCCGUGUAGCGGUGAAAUGCUUAGAUAUGGCACAGAACACCAAUUGCGAAGGCAGCUCACUAAGGCGAUACUGACGCUGAGGCACGAAAGCGUGGGGAUCGAACAGGAUUAGAAACCCUGGUAGUCC